rnacentral:rRNA from 1 species
UAGGGAAUCUUCGGCAAUGGGGGCGAACCCUGACCGAGCAACGCCGCGUGAGCGAUGAAGUAUUUCGGUAUGUAAAGCUCUAUCAGCAGGGAAGAAAAUGACGGUACCUGACUAAGAAGCACCGGCUAAAUACGUGCCAGCAGCCGCGGUAAUACGUAUGGUGCAAGCGUUAUCCGGAUUUACUGGGUGUAAAGGGAGCGUAGACGGAGAGGCAAGUCUGAUGUGAAAACCCGGGGCUCAACCCGGGACUGCAUUGGAAACUGCUUUUCUAGAGUGUCGGAGAGGUAAGUGGAAUUCCUAGUGUAGCGGUGAAAUGCGUAGAUAUUAGGAGGAACACCAGUGGCGAAGGCGGCUUACUGGACGAUGACUGACGUUGAGGCUCGAAAGCGUGGGGAGCAAACAGGAUUAGAUACCC